AAGGCCACGACCCCAAAGUUUUCGCAUCUUCUCUCCAACCCAAAAACCUAACCCUGAAAAACGAAUCUUCUGCUCGAAAUUGCCGUCCUCCCAAGUCCAACUUAAACAAAAACUCAUAAAAGCGGAGCAGCGAACCCUUCAUGUGUUGGAUUUCCAGUUCUUCACUUUCACCAACUCAUCGACCAAGCCGCGAAGAUACAGUCUUGAAUCACACAGUUUCAAAAUGAAAAGAUUUUGGUCAUUCUUUUAUCUCAAUCGAAAUUUUGAGCAGGUCAUUUUCCCCGUGUCUCUCUGAGAUUUCAAUUCCAGAUUGGGUUUUGUUAAAUCUGAGUUUUUGAUGCUCUUGGUUUAUUUUUAUUUUUUUUGUAGGGUUUCUUUCAAUGAUGCAAUUUGAUGGAGAGUGAGUUGUAAAUUGGUAUUUGGGGUUUUCAAUCUGUUAUUAUGUAUCACAUUUCACAGGACUGUUUUAACAUCUGUAUAUUUGUCGGAUUUCACAGGACUAUUUUAUGAUCUGUAAUUCCUUGUACUCCAUUUUAUUGUGUUUUGGUGAACUUGGAUGAUUGUUUGUAAGAAUUGGUGAUUUAUUUGUGGUUUUGAUUAUUUUAAUCAAUUAUUACAUGGAUUUUGAUUUGUUCCAUCAUUUUGGGAUGUAUUCCUUUUGUGUUCAAGUCAAAAUGAAAAAUAGUUUUGUUGGUUAGGAUUUUGAUAUGUACAAAAUGUUACUCUUAACUCUUUUGCAAAUACAAGUCUUAAAUUUGUGGGUAAGAAGGUAGCUCUGUGUAAUAAUCAUGGGUUAUUUGGAUUUACUAAAACCGGCAUCAGGUGUCAAACGUAUAUGCAUCUAUGUUUGCCAUAAUGAAUGUUAUGCUUGUCAUUGGGUAUAUUUGUUAGGGUACUGUUAGGGAUAAGUUGAAGAACAUGUUAUCGAUUCUCAGUCCUCAUUCUACCUUCUUAAGUGCUUCAAGUUCACACUUUAUAGAAUCAUGUAUCUAUUCUAAUUCGCAAGGUUUCUACCUGUUAAUAUGUGUGUCAUGCUUAAAAAAUAUGCUUGAUUGACACUAGAUUGUGGUGUGGCUCUGAUGGUUACUUUUAGUUUAAAAUUAAUAUUUAGUGAAAUUGUUGGGUUAACAAAAUAAAUAUGAUUGAUGACUUACUUUGUGCCAGCUGCAUUCACAACAUUUUGAAUUUUUUGUUCCGUUUGUAAUACUAAUUUCUUUUCACAGUGCAUCAACAUUGAACUUCCAUGCUUAAUAUCUUGUAUUCGUGUCUUUGGGAUUUGCUUGACAUAAUGCUGUUAUAUAUCAACCAGGUGGUCUAUUUUUCUUAUGUGGUGGUUAGUAAGCUUAUAGAGGAAAUUUUAUUGUUUUGUACAAGAUGGAAGAUCAACAAAAUGGGAAGCAGGGGUAACUUUCAGGACCUUCAGCUUGCCUCUUCAGACGUGGUGAGCAGCCUUACAGUCCUGGGCAGUAGCUCCAUAGAAUUGGUUACCAUCCUUCUUACCUUUGGGGCAGUUGCAUAGGACCGGGGAUCACUACAGACCAGAGGAGCAACUUUCUAGACCUGGGUAACAACUCUUUGAACCUGACGAGAAGCUCUACAUACCUUGGACUGAUUCGGGAGCGCUUUGGAAUAGACGACUGGAUCGGGUUUAACAUGGAAUAACUUUAGUUUGAUGUAUGAAGUUUCUCUACUUCAGAGUGGUUAAUAUUGAAGUCUAGAGAUUGUGUAAAUUUAUUUAUUUUUCUCCUUACGCUAAAGCUGGAUUCACUAAGUAUACACUGUUACAUUUACAUUCUGUUUAAUGAAAUUUGAUUUCUUUCUUUUAAUUCA